ACGUAGGUGACAAGCGUUGUCCGGAUUUACUGGGUGUAAAGGGCGCGUAGGCGGGAUAGCAAGUCAGUCGUGAAAUACCGAGGCUCAACCUCGGGGCUGCGAUUGAAACUGUUAUUCUUGAGUAUCGGAGAGGAAAGCGGAAUUCCUAGUGUAGCGGUGAAAUGCGUAGAUAUUAGGAGGAACACCAGUGGCGAAGGCGGCUUUCUGGACGACAACUGACGCUGAGGCGCGAAAGUGUGGGGAGCAAACAG
rnacentral:rRNA from 1 species